ACAUGCAGAGAACUUUCCAGAGAUGGAUUGGUGCCUUCGGGAACUCUGACACAGGUGCUGCAUGGCUGUCGUCAGCUCGUGUCGUGAGAUGUUGGGUUAAGUCCCGUAACGAGCGCAACCCUUGUCCUUAGUUACCAGCACGUUAUGGUGGGCACUCUAAGGAGACUGCCGGUGACAAACCGGAGGAAGGUGGGGAUGACGUCAAGUCAUCAUGGCCCUCACGGCCUGGGCUACACACGUGCUACAGUGGUCGGUACAAAGGGUUGCCAAGCCGCGAGGUGGAGCUAAUCCCAUAAAACCGAUCGUAGUCCGGAUCGCAGUCUGCAACUCGACUGCGUGAAGUCGGAAUCGCUAGUAAUCGUGAAUCAGAAUGUCACGGUGAAUACGUUCCCGGGCCUU
rnacentral:rRNA from 1 species